CCCUGAUUCAGCUCAUGAAGAACAGUUCAGAAAUCAACUUCAAGCAGGACUGGAAAGUUAUCACCCUUUUCAUUGGAGCCAAUGAUCUCUGCGAGUACUGUAUGGAUAAGGAAACGUAUUCUGCAGAUAAUUACGUGAAGCAUAUUGAGGA